UGUGUGACAUUUGGCAAAUCCAUGAG
rnacentral:piRNA from 1 species